ACUCAAAGGAAUUGACGGGGGCCCGCACAAGCGGUGGAGCAUGUGGUUUAAUUCGACGCAACGCGAAGAACCUUACCUGGGCUCGAAAUGGAGUGGACUGGGGUAGAAAUAUUCCUUCCCCGCAAGGGGCUGCUCUAUAGGUGCUGCAUGGCUGUCGUCAGCUCGUGUCGUGAGAUGUUGGGUUAAGUCCCGCAACGAGCGCAACCCUUAUUACCAGUUACCAUCAUUCAGUUGGGGACUCUGGUGAGACCGCCUCGGAUAACGGGGAGGAAGGCGGGGAUGACGUCAAGUCCUCAUGGCCUUUAUGUCCAGGGCUACACACGUGCUACAAUGGCCGGUACAAACCGUCGCAAACCCGUGAGGGGGAGCUAAUCGGAAAAAGCCGGCCUCAGUUCGGAUUGGAGUCUGCAACUCGACUCCAUGAAGCUGGAAUCGCUAGUAAUCGCGGAUCAGAACGCCGCGGUGAAUACGUUCCCGGGCCUUGUACACACCGCCCGU
rnacentral:rRNA from 1 species